UCGUCGCUUCAUCUGGAAGAAAGAGAGAGAACGUGAAAACGCCUUGAACUCCACCCCUUCUCUCAAGUCACACGCAACCUCUCCUUUCCUCUCCAAUCUCUCUCGUUUUUCAUUCACAUCGGCAAGGGUUGCCGCCGCCGCCGCGCUCACGCCCCAAAUUUUCUCCCCCCUUCCCCGAUCCCGCAGCGGCCGCCUCUGCUGCUCCUGCGCAUGGUCGCCGCCGCCUCUGCUGCUCCCGCGCGUGGUCGUCGCGGCCUCUCCUCCCACCUCAGCGUACAACCGCCUCAGCGCCUCUUCCUCUUCAUCUCAGAAGACGGCAUCGAGUGCGGCCGUCCCGUGCUCUCUUUCCCUCCCAGGUCGACCCAGGAGGAGCUCGAGCGGCAGAGCUGGUCCACGGCGCCGUCGUUGUUGGCAGGAGCGUGAGCGCAGACACAGUCGGCUCCCUCCGGCUUUCGUGUCGCCGUCCAUCAACCCGUGAGGAAGAGAUAUAUCGAUGGCCAAGAACUCCUGGAGCACCCGCUCGGUUCAUCUCAUGUUCUCAUGCUCUCCUUUUUCUUCUGAUCUUAUGGAAGUUGUGCUAUGAUCAUAUAUCAUCUUCUACUCUGUACAUGUUUGUUCGAAUUCAUGAGGUUGCAAGAAUUAAGAAAAUUACAACACCAAUUCUAUUGUACUAAUCAAUGCGCUUAUGCUACUAUGCAGGUAUAUUCGCAGGUUAGUUGCAUGGAUAAGGCCUUCCCAACCGGGCACGCCCAAGAACGCCUCCUGCAGGAGGGCGCCGCCGCCGUCCCGACCAGCACUCCCCCGCCGUCCUACCACGCCCGGACCGCCACGGCAGGUUGGGCCGCAGGAGCAAGGGAGAUGGUCGAUGGGGAGACGGCCCCGCCUCUGAUGCAGCUGGAGACGCUGCUGGCGCUCGGCCUGGACCAGCGCAUGGCGGAGAACGCGCUGGUCAACAGCAAAGUCACCUAGCCUCCGUCAUAGCCAAGAACCAGGGCAAAUAUGGGAGCUCCAUCAAGGCUUUGGUGAGCAAACUGUGUCCUUGCUCAGCCUCUCUCGUGUUGAUUGGGCAUCUUGGAAUUUUAUUUUGGCAACUUGGCCAACUGGUCUUCCAACAAUCAGCAGUAGCAGGUCCAGUGCCUGAUAACAGAACAAGCGAUUGCGAUCGUUUCUAUCUCCCACUGCGGCCGAAACCUGCAGUUGCUGCCGGCUGAGACCGGCCAGGACGCCGACAACGGAUUUGACUCCUACACCAAUCUCAUCAAGGUUGUUGUUGGAAAGUCAAAAAGCUACACGGGAAGACCUUCGACAAUAAUUUCAGCCCCAAAGGAACAAAGGUGGCGACGCCGUUAUCACGGCAAGCAAGCUGGCAUUCAGUUCAGCUUCUUGACGCGGUUCGGCAUGAUGGCGGCGCAGAUGAAGGCAUUCCUCGACUCCACUGGCGCCUCCGGCAGGAGCAGAGCAUCUCCGGCAAUCUCGCAGGCGUCUUCUUUGCCACGGGCACCUAGGGCUGGCACGCCAUUGUAAAGAUGGGUUAAGCGUAUGCCUUAGCAGGGACGCGUUGCGUGUUAUUUAUAGGCACAAGAGAUUACAGGGUUUAGGUAGUUAGGUUGUUGUAGGAUUGAUCUCCAAGUCAUAAUCUAUACAAAGGAUAGAGAUCAACCUAAACAUAUCCUAACUACCUGAUUACAACACGCACAUGCCCACACAUAUAUACGGUUUAUAUGUACACUGUAUACAUCCUAUAAUACAUACUUUAACACGCCCCCUCA